rnacentral:rRNA from 1 species
UCGUAAUAUAUCAGAUGAGGAGUCGGACCUGCCCGGUGAAGAUUUUUAACGGCCGCGGUACUCUGACCGUGCAAAGGUAGCAUAAUCAUUUGCCUUAUAAUUGAAGGCUAGUAUGAAUGGUUUGACGAGAAUAUAGCUGUCUCUUUGUAAUUUGAUAGAAUUUUAUUUUUAGGUGAAAAAGCCUUGAUUGGAUUAAAAGACAAGAAGACCCUAUCGAGCUUAAAAGAAGUUGGUGGACGCAAGUUUUUGUGUUUUCAAAAAGGUUAACUAUCAAAUAUUUUGGUUGGGGCGACUGAGGAACAUAUAAAGCUUCCUUUUGUAAAAAUAGUUACGUACAUGUGUUUGAUCCUUAGUUGGCGAUUAAAGGAAUUAGUUACCGUAGGGAUAACAGCAUUAUCCUUUUUGAGAGUUCUAAUCGAAAAAAGGGUUUGUGACCUCGAUGUUGGACCAGAAUGUCCUAAAGGUGCAGAAGUCUUUAAGGGUUGGUCUGUUCGACCAUUAAAAUUCUA